rnacentral:tRNA from 1 species
AAAUAGGUAAGCUAAACCCCCAAGCUAGUGGGCUCAUACCCCAUCAAUAGGAAAUAUCCUCCUCUUUA